AUUUCUCCUGGAGAGGGGCUGGGGGAAUCAGUUUCCCUAGAGGGCAUUUCCAUCCUAAAGUGACUGAUUCUGCUUUGGUCCGGCCUCAGCCAAGAGGCGUUUGAGAGCACCCUGCAUUAACAUAUGUGCAUGUUCAGUCAGAUUUGAGCUGGCAAUUUGCACGUUCGUGCGACAAAGGAUGGAGAAAGACUUCACGCUGAGGGCUGCCGAGCACCUGCCCAGAGAUGUUCGUAACCCAUAAACAGAUCAUGCUGCCUGGAAGGAAGGGCAUUUGGGGCUUGGUGGUGGAAGAUUGGGCCCCCACUGAAGUUUCUGGGAAAGCAGAACUUGGCUGUGGAUGAAUGACUAAUUCUUCAGCAGUAACCUAGAUCUGAGAUGCCCCAGGCUCAGGGAAGACCUGUUUUUUCCUUCCCUUCCUGACUUUGGAGAAAAAUAAAUUCUGCUUGAAAAGAAGAGACCAGCUAUAUCAAUGCUUCUUAGCUGAAAAUCCAGCUGUGCUUCUGAAAGGUGCUAUGUGGACUCAACAUCUAUGUUGAGAAAAUACUAACAGAGCAAAGCUGCGUAACAGGAGGGAAAUUGUUGUGAUGACCCUGUAAGAUAACUGCCAUGUGAUCCUAUAGCUGAUACGCUUUAAAGUGAAGUUUUUUGUCCUCUGAACUUAGUUUCUUGUGGAAGAAAAAGUUUACUGUGCUAAUGUGGGCUGUAUGGUCCCUUAAGAAGAGAAUAGGUUGGACAGCGUUCUUGUUUGUGUUACAGGGCCUCUUUUCAGCCCCUUGCCAGUGUGAAGGGCGCUAUGAUGAACGUGAUGUUUGUGCCCGCUGUGAGACCGUUCUGCUUCCCCAGGCAGAUGUCAAGGGGCCUUUCUGUGGGUGUGAGGUGAGGCUGUGACUUCCAGGGAGGACUAACGCAAUGAAACCCUAUGCUUUUGCUGCAGCAGCGCAGUGGUAUUACAGCCAUCGUUAAUGUUGCUUCCUCGCACUAAUUCAGGUGCGAGACAAAACAUCCGAGCGUAACCUAAAGCGUCCCCUAGCCUAGGUGUUUAUUGUACUUUCA